GUAAAAGAACAAGCAGUCAAGAAAUACAUCAUGGAUUGGCACUUGGUACAGGAGUCAUAACUGCAUUGUUUUCAUUUUGAAGCAAUAACAAAAGCACAGCAAUAAUAGCAGAAAAGAAGGCAGUAACAAUAGUUAUUCCAGAGUUCCUGAUAAUCUUGUCAUCUGAUGCCAAUGUUGACAUUAUUAUUGACAGUAUCGCAUUUCAGCCAGUCAGAAGCAUCAAUCAACCCAUGGUGAUAACAUAAAACCGAGAAAAGCUUCUCCUAAUCCAAUUUAUAUUCUGUCCCAUAUACCAGGCCCAACCAUGCUGAGGAAACAAAAUGAGAAGAGCACAGAAUAAUAUACUUUUAAACUUAGACAUACAUAUUCUGAUACACACAGAAUAUUUUGGAACAUGGCAAAGAAAGGACUUCACAUAUUUUAUGUAAUUUCUAUAGACAUAGAUUAAAAAAAAAAACCUUGAAUGUGGAAAACAAAGUU